GGAGAUUUCAAAUAAAACCCUGAGGUUUGGAGCUUGGAAGACUGAUAAUGCCUUUUAUAACAAUAACAAAGGGGACUGAGUUUUGGGGAAAUAUGAUGAGUUCCAUUUUGAAUAUUCUAGUUCACAUAUGCUGAUAAGGCGUCCAGGAAGAGACAUCUAGCAGGAAAGAUGUUCUACUUGAUGCAUCAUAAUUUCAGUCAAUCUUGCUUUGUCUCACCACUGGAUUUGUCAAAUCCAAUUUUAUGUGGACCAGGGGAUGCUAAGGUCCAGAGCAGCAGAAGUGCGGAGCUACUCAGACCAUGUCUGAGACCAUAUCAGAUUAAAAGGGCACAGGGUCUUUUUUCAUUCUAUUCAUUCAGCUGAUCCGCUGUAGCAGCCCACAGAGACAGAGGACAGAAAGACAGAGACAGAGAGGGAAGUCUUCAAGGCCUCUUCCAGCACUAAAUCUAUGAUUCUUUUAUUUUAUGAAAUGAUGAGAUAGUUCAGAGGCAUACAAUACAAUAAAAAUUUAUUAUAAAAUUUCAGAAAACAUAAAUAUUCAGGUGCUCAUUACAAGUGGAGCUGCAUCAUAAGAACUUUAACUUGAAGGCAGCACCAAUACUGAAACGGAGUAUGUUGGAAACAAGAUGAUGUGCAGCUUUUUCAUUUAUGAAAUUGGCAUUCAUUCUAAAUGAGUAUUGUGAAAACAACCCAACCCCUAAAUUGCCACACAAGUAAAACAUGGAUUUCUGGUUUAGAAAGUUGGUUAUUUAGCAGACAACUAUUUUAGUAGUACCAUAUUUUUUUUUUAAUAAGAAACAGCAGGAUUUGGGCAUAACCAGAAAUUAAAAAAAAAUACAGAAUUCUUUCUUUCUCCUUUUUUCUUUCUCUUUCUUUCUUUCUUUCCUUCUUUCCUUCUUUCCUUCUUUCCUUCUUUCCUUCCUUCCUUCCUUGCCUUCCUUCCUUCCUUCCUUCCUUCCUUCCUUCCUUCCUUCCUUCUUUCCUUCCUUCCUUCCUUCUCUCAAUCUUUCUUUCUCUCAAUCUUUCUUUCUCUUUCUUAUACAGCAAAGUAUAAAGAAAUAAAUUUAAAAAGGAAAAGUCCUUUGUA
rnacentral:lncRNA from 1 species